rnacentral:lncRNA from 1 species
AUGAACUAAAUAUUUGUGUCCUCUCAAAAUCUGUAUGUCAAAGACUUUAACCCGCAAUACGAUGUUAUAAGGAGGUGGACCUUUGGGAGAAAGUGAGGUUAUGAAAGUGGAUUCCUCAAAAUAGGAUUAGUCCCCUUAUAAGAAGAGGAAGAAAAGCCAGAGCUUCCUCUCUCUGAUAUGGUAAGAGGACAGCUGUCUGCAAGCCAGGAGAAGGCCUAACCAAAAAUGAAUCUGCCUUCUCCUUGAUCUUGGACUUCCCACCUUCCAGAACUGUGAGAGAUAAAGGUUUGUUGUUUCAGUCACUCAUUCUGUGAUGUUUUGUAAUAGCCUUCCUCCAGCAUGUAGUUUAGGUCAUCACUUUCUCCAGACUUCCAAGGUCAUCCUAAUAGUCUCUUAGCAUUGUCUCACGGGGUUCCUGUCAAGUACUAAGCCUCUUAUUACGGGAGAACUCUAUUAUCCAUCUUUAUGCCUCUCUCCUAAAUCCUGCAACUGUAGAUGUUGUCUCAUCUUUCUCUUGGUUACAUAGAUCCUGAAACAUCUUUGCAAUGUGUUCCUUUUCUUCCCUUAGCAGGUCUAAGACUGCUUCAAUUGGGGUAGGCUAACAUCUGACCCUAACUAUGGGUCUGGUGGCCAAGGAGGAAAGUAAGGGUGCACUAUGUUGGGCAGAACAAAGUGUCUUGCAAGACAGAGGCCCCUGCAUUGCCUAUAAGCAAGGGGCAAGGAGGGGGGUACUAACAUUAAACUAAGAGACUGAGCUACUUCUCUGGGUUCAGAGGGCUCAGGGAGAUCUGAGUCCCUAACUCAAAUCUCAAGUCCAUUCUAUCCAAGCCUGUACCUCAUAUUGGUGUUGUUGACUUGCCAGGCUUGAGAAUUCAAACCCCUGUAGAGCUCUUCUGUACGAAGGUUAAGCUCUCAGUCUUAUCUUUUUGUUUCUGCCCUCUAGCUGUGGGUAAUGGGAUUCUUUUUAUAGACAACAACAAAAAAGAUCUUUCACAUUUCACCUUCAUUUUGUGAUCAUCCUCUUCCAGCCUUUAAUUUUUCUCUAAUGCAUCAAAAGCUCUCAGCAACGAACAUUUACUAUCAUACUUAGUAAAAUUACGGCUUUCUCCUCUCAGAUGCUUGGAAUAUUCUAUCAGAGCUUACAUCCUUUCACAGACAUCUAUCCACAUUUACCACCAGUAAGGGUUUACACAGUUACUUCACUAGAGAGCACCCAGGGGUAUUGCUAUUCUACUGACUAUCAGAGAUGGAGUCUUCACUAUCACCUGGCUGGCAGGAGUCAGGAUACCAGUUUUCAUUUUAGAGUCGGGUUCCUAAAACCAUUCCUACCACCAACUCUCUUAAACCAGUUUCCUGGAAACAAAAUGCAAUAGAGGUUUAGGUACAAGAGGUUAAGGGAAAACACACGUUGGACCACUCAUGAAAGACUGCGAACGAAGAAAGCUAGCUUCAGGAGGGAAGAAUGUUGAACUGAAGUACAGAUCCAAUAUUUUGGUUGAUUCCGUGGGGAUCUUUCGAUCUGGAAGACUCUUUAGAGUCAUCCCAACUUGAGGCAAAGAGGUGCCAGGCGUUCGUUCACCACCAUCUCCUCCCCAAACACUUAAAAGUAGUAAAUGUUACUGUUUAUAAAUAAUACCUUGAACAAAUAAAAGGGAAAAUAUUUUUAUUCUUAUUACAAGCACAUAAAAACUUAAAAAGUAACAUCAUAAAAGGAAAGUGAAGAUUUUCCUGAAAGUCUCACAGGACAGAGGGGAGAGUUAGAGCACAUAUAAAAGAAAACUUCUUUAAAAUCCUUUUUAAAACUGUUUUUGCCCAACAUCCCACUUCCCUCAAGCAGUUGCUACAUCUCUUCUAUACUUUUGUGUUUAUAGACUUAACUCUUCUUGGAGUAUUUCCAUCACCAUCUUGGGCUGAGUUCUCCCUUUUUAUCUGUAACCAUAUUUUCCCUGAUCAUUUCUUUCUUAUAAUCUGGCUCUCUCAGCUUUUGUUGUUUGCAGCCCUGUCCCUUGGUGUACUUUAUUAAUCAGAGCUCUUUGGGAUCAACUUGCCCUAGAACAGUGAAGGCUGGAGAUAAUAAAUUCUUUAUAUUUAAUAUUUUAUUUUCAUAUGCUAAUAUGUUUAUUUUGCAUAUGCUAAUUAUAUCUCUCAAACUUUUCCCACAGUGAAAAUAAAAUCUUCAAGUAUUUUACUUAAAAAUUACACACAGUCUCCAUUAUAAUGAAGGAUAAAAAUUAGUGUCAACUUAUACUGCAUUUCUCACAGAAGAGUAUUUUAAAUGUAUAUCAAAAAUUAAUAAUAUCUUCAGCAAAGCUUUAUUAUAUGUAGAAAAAUUAUCAACUUCAUUGUAAAUGUAUACCUUUCAGUUCAAUGGCAAACAAUACAGCAAUUCACAGUAAGACUCUAAGAGUAGGGUUUUAAAGGGUGAUUACAGAUGACAGUGAUAGCUGAUCUUUUGGAUGUUUUAAAACUCUGAUCUCUGCCUCACAUACUAUCAUGUUUACUAACCAAAAGCCGUGAGAACUAUUUAUUAACCUGUAGGUGAAUUCGGAUAGAACUUUUUAUGCUAGGAGAAAAAGUAAAUAAUUGCUAAAGGUAAACAGCUUACCUUAGAUGGAAUCAUGAUACCAGACACUAACUUGAGAAAAUAAGUCAGGUAGAUAAAGGAGUCUGCUCUGGCACAAGAGUAGGCUGCUUAUCAAAAGUCCUCAGAAGAUUUUUCAGUGCCCUUUUUCUUAUCCUUUUGAAGACCUCUGGUAAGCUGCUUUAGCACUUCAUUGGACUCACACAUGGUUUUCUUUCAUGAUUUAUUUACCCAUCUAAAGCCAGCUGCCUUUUGUAAGGGAAACCGCAUUGAGGAGAGGAAAAAAAAAAAAAUCUUUAAAAUCAAGUACCCUUCCAAAAAUUUUGAAAGUAAGCCUGCAGACUUUUCCCUGGUGAAUUUCACCAUCAUUCUAUACAAAACACGGAUUGCUUCAUAAUUGAUCUGCUGCAUUUGUACUGAUUUUGGCAAUAGAUUCCAAAAAUAUACCGCUUAAAUAUAAUACAAGCAUUCACCAUGAAACCUGGUUAUGUAGAUAUGAGCUCUGAAAACCUUAGAGAUUAUAAUGCUUACUGAGUUGAAUCAAAGUCUAAAGAUAAACACACACUUUGGAACAAAAUCUCCACUCAAAUUCUAUCAGGCUAUUUCAUGUAUAUGGUUGUUUCUCCAAAGAUACUAAAAUUGGGGUAAGCUUGAGAAUUUUAUAUAUUGAAAAUUACUAAAUUUUCCAUUUUUAACAAAGCAGUCUGAUUCUACACAGUUACAUUUUAAGGGGAAGACAAAUACCAUGCUUAUAUAUCGAUCAUCUUAAAGUUCAAUCCAGUAACAAUGAGUACUUCAGAUUCAUUCUUUGAAAAAUGUUUACAGAAAGUCAUCAGAAGCCUGUUAAUAUUUACAAAAUUAGGCAUUUCUAUACUGUGUUUACUUUUGUUAAAUGUCUUAGGCAAGCAGGAAGAUCAGUCCAAGGCCUUCUAAGGAAGAGGAAAAAGUCAAUUCAGAGUCAAAAAACAUUUUGACAUUUUCUCUGUUUGGAUGCCCCCUUUCUUUACUAAGAUUAAAUUAUACCCUCUCCCCCAGCAGGUGAUAUAUUAGUGAAGUCUAUUCAGAGAGAAAUUUUAUUCUUUUGCUCUAAAUUAACAUUUUAUUUAAUGUUUCUGCUACAAUUGAGAUUUUUAAUUGAUAUUUUGUGAUUUUAUUUCACUCAAAUAGCACGAUUUGUGGUAUAAUCAAGGGAUUUUUCCAAGUGCUUUACCAAUUCUAAGUUAUUUAAUCCUCAGUACAUUGAAAUCAGCAUUAUUUGAUAUCCCUAUAUUACAGAGAAGGAAACAGGUACAGAGCAGUUAAUUUACUGAAGGUCACACAGCUAGCAAUUGACAAAGCCAGAAUUUAAUCCAGGAUUGCUCUAUGGAGUCCAUACUCCUAACCGUUACAUGCGCUAGGUGGAAGGGUAAAUUACAAAGCUAGAAAUUGUUCAAUUUUGUUUUACCUAUUUGUAGCAAAAAUAAAAAUCGUUUUGAAG